rnacentral:rRNA from 1 species
UCGAGGAUCUUCGGCAAUGGGCGCAAGCCUGACCGAGCGACGCCGCGUGUGCGAUGAAGGCCUUCGGGUUGUAAAGCACUGUCGAGGGGAAGAAAGCCGCAAGGUUGAUCGACCCCUGGAGGAAGCACGGGCUAAGUUCGUGCCAGCAGCCGCGGUAAGACGAACCGUGCGAACGUUGUUCGGAUUCACUGGGCUUAAAGGGCGCGUAGGCGGGCCAUCAAGUCCGGGGUGAAAUCUUUCAGCUUAACUGGAAACGUGCCUCGGAUACUGACGGCCUCGAGGGAGGUAGGGGCACGUGGAACUUCCGGUGGAGCGGUGAAAUGCGUAGAUAUCGGAAGGAACGCCGGUGGCGAAAGCGACGUGCUGGACCUCUUCUGACGCUGAGGCGCGAAAGCCAGGGGAGCGAACGGGAUUAGAUACCCCUGUAGUCC